AACGCCGUCAAAGUUGACAGUGUCCAUCACCGCUUAUUUCCCUCAAUCAUAACGCUCACCCCCCCCCCCCCCCCGACCCCACCCACACACACACACACCAAACCCCCUCAUCCUGUGUUGCUUAAGAUUCUUUGUGAAUUGUGAAUAUCUGUUGCAGUUCUGUUGGAUUCAAACUUGAAUCUGUAAAGUAAAAUUUUGAACUUUUUGGCAUAUUGGGGUUUGUUGUUAUGAGGUGUUGAUGGGUUAAAUACUCAAAUUGGGUGUCAAUUAAUACAACAUAUUCGGUGUAAUCCCGUAAGUGGGGUUUGAGGAGGGCUGGGUAUACGCAGAUCCUUAUAUAGGUCUUAUUCGAUUUUAUAGGGAUUUUCUUCACAUUCAACAACCGUCAUUGUAGAAAUUUUUUUUACUUACAAAAAUCUCAACUUUGUAGCAUAGAACAUCCUUUUCUACCGAUGUUUGAUAAAUACUAAAUACCCUUUGUGUGUUUUAUUGUUUUGUAGUAAAAUUUUGAACUUUUCUUGAUUUGGAGUGUGUUUAUAGUGGCUCUUUGCAUAGUUGGGGUUUGUUGUGAGGAAUUAAUUGUGCACAAAAAGGUAAAGAGAUGGGGGAAGAUUUGAUUACAAGCUUGUCAAUAGAUAAUUAUCAACUAUCAACAUUCUUGUCUAUGGACUCAGACAGAGAAGUGAAUAGGCAGAAUGUGCUUUCGAGGCCACCCGAUAUUAAUCUCGCGUUAGAAAGUAGCCACGAAAUGUUUGAUAUGAUGGAGGUUGGACUUGGACACCAAAUUAAUGAAUGUUAUAAUGAGCUUCUUGAUUUGUCUAAAGUUGGAAGGAAAUGUGCUAAGAGAUUGGAUAGUGUUUGGGGUGCUUGGUUCUUCUUUACGUUCUACUUCAAACCUGUUUUGAAGGAGAAAUCUAAGUGUAAAAUUGUUCGAGAUAGUAAUGGGGUGUCGGGAUUUGAUAAGUCUGAUCUUCAGCUUGAUGUGUUUGUGGUUCAACAUGAGAUGGAGAAUAUGUACAUGUGGGUUUUCAAGGAGAGGUCUGAAAAUGCAUUGGGGGAGAUGGAGUUGAGGAGUUAUAUGAAUGGACAUUCUAAGCAGGGAGAGCGUUCAUUUCCAUUUAGCGUUGACAAGGGUUUCAUGUUUUCUCAUAAAAUGCAGCACAAACACUAUAGCGGCCUCUCGGAUCAGCAGUGUUUGCAUGGAAUCGAGCUUGUUCCAUCACCUGAUUUGUCAUGUAUUGAUGAGGAAGAGCAGAAGAAGUGGAUGGAACUUACUGGUAGGGAUAUCAAUUUUUCAAUCCCACCCGAAGCUAGAGACUUCGAUUCAUGGCGUAACCUUCUCAACACAGAUUUUGAGCUUCAAAGACAUAUGCCUUUACCAAAGAGCAAUUUUCAUCUCGCUUCAAAAAAAUUACUGAAUGGUACUAGUCUCAACUUGUCAACUCAACCAUCAAACCCUGUGAACAGCAACGGUUUAAAGCUCUCAUCUGAUUGUGGUAAGAAAAGGAAAGACGUAUUUUCUCAUGGAAGUGAUGAAGAUCAUACCUUGUCGACUAAUCCCAGUUUAAACAGACAUCAAAAUGGAGAACCACACACUGUUGAACCACCUUGGAUGACUCAGUUUUCGGGAGUAAUGAAAAAUGUAUAUGGGCCAGUUGCUGCUGCAAAAACUAUAUACGAGGACUCGGAAGGAUACAUAGUUAUGAUCACCCUACCUUUCGUUGAUCGUGAAAAGGUGAAAGUUCAUUGGUGGAACAAUAUCAAUCACGGCAUUAUAAAAAUAACAUCUGUGAGCACAGCAUGCCCUCCAUUCAUGCUGAUGAAUGGUAGGACAUUCAAGCUAACUGAUCCAUCUCCAGAGCACUGUCCUCGCGGUGAAUUCACAAGGGAAAUUUCACUUCCAACUCGAAUACCUGAUGAUGCAAAAUUAGAAGCAUAUUUUGACAAGAGCGGAACAGUGCUAGAAUUGAAAGUUCCCAAACAUGCUGCAACUCCAGAAGUGCAUGAAGUUCCUGUUUGCCUUCGACCUCCAGAUGAGUUUAUGCUGUCAUGAGCUAGGUAUUGAUUGCAGAAGUGUCAGGUAGCCCAGAUAGUUAAUUUCCGUUCUAAUUUUAAGUUACAUUUUUAGUGGGAAAUUCAAUCAUUGUUGAAAAGUUAAUCAUAUCUAAUGAUAGCAACUUAUUAGGAUCCUUUGCUGCCGCUCAAACUGUUCUGUAGCAAUGCUGAGUCGCCUAGUAUGUGAUGCAGAGUGAAGCAUGUUAUUAAUCAUUAAGAGCAUUAAGGACACGCUGGAGACCUCCAAAAAACUUGUUACAAUCAACCUAGGUUACAUACAAGAAAUCUCUUCUGGGCUUGUCCAACUUUUUGCCACUUCAGUUGGAAUAGGGAAGAGAGACACGACAUAGGCAAAGAGUUCAACACAGAAUUGAUCAAGGUGACUCUACCUCUAAGUGAUAAAAUAUGAUGCUUUCCAGUUUGCAAAUUUCUUCUCUGUUUACUCAACAAUCCCAUUCCAAAUCUCCCCAUCUUUGUGUUUGUUUCGUAAUGGCAUGCCUAACAUACAGUUGGUAGUUUCUCUACCCUGCAGCCCAAAAUGUUGGCCAAAACCUGCACCUAAGCUACUUCCCUGAUUGGAAAGCUAUGUUGCUUGGACUCUUUCAAAAUGUCGAUGGGUGCGUGUCAGCUUCGCCAAAACUAGUGUAUUUUUGGAGAAUUGGACACGGUGCAGCGUCGAAAGUGAAGAGUCUACGCAACUUAGUUGGAAAGAGAUUGCUCUUCCUCCAAUUGACACAUUAACCAGAGAUAACUUCAAAAACAAGCAAGAUCACCUAGAUGGAGCUGAUAUGUUCAGCUUUUGCUCAACAGAAGACCACAAUGUCAUCCGCAUAAGGCAACUGACAAGUGGGCUGCAUAGUCUCUUUGCAUGCUGCAUUUGGAUAAUGGGUGUCUAUGUUCCUCUCCUAUGGCACCAUCUGAGUUGCACAGCUGAUCAUGUUAAUUAAGUGCAAGUGGAAACAAAUCUAAAAUGAAUCACGUAUUGAAUACCAGCUUAUAAUUUUCAUAAGUGCAAAAAUUAUUCUAAAAUACAAUGAACCAUUGCUAUUUUGAGCUGGAUUGUUUCUAUGUUCAUUUUGUUUUGCACGGCCAACAAAUUCUUUUUUUAACUCCUUUUUGUUGCUUUCGAAUUUUGAUCAGUGCAAUAAUGUAUCAUCUGGUGAUCUGCACAUUUACCUGCUUUUUAAGAAUUAAGACUUUCCUCUUGAGUA